GUAAGAUGAUCAAAAAACGACAAAACCAUGAGAAAGUUAAAAGAAUUCACUUUUAAACCAACUCAGUACCUUUUAAUUAAUCACAGUCUUCAUUUUAAUUAAUCAAAACAAAGAGACAAUUAAUUAAACUAAUUGUCAACAAAAAGAAAAAAAGAAAAUUAUUAAUCCGAUCCAGAGAGUCAAUCCCGAUAUCGAUAUUUUUAAUUAGAUAAUAAAUGUUGGCGGUCAAUGGAAGAGAUUUAAUUGUUUACACUUUUCUUUAUUAAUCAUUAGCUAAUUUUUUCCCCAAUUAAAUUGUUUAAAACUUGAAUUCUAAUAUUUAAAGUGAUCAAUCCAUCAAUCGAAAUGCAAAAAGCUCUUGGACCAAUCUUUGUGAGAAUAUGAGAUUUUGUUUUGUUUUUCUUUUCUCUUAUAGCUUCCGAAAGUUGUGUGUUCUCCUUGGAAUUCAAUAAUUUCCCUAAAAUGUGUAUUUAUGAAGACAAAUUAAGACACUUUGGAUUUGGUGUGUAACCAUAUUACCUAACACUUAUUUGAUUACAUAGACAGAGAGAUACAUGUAUAGAGUUUGAGAGAAUCAACAAGCAAUCAAGUUAAACAUUUGAUAAACAAACGAAUCAAGAGGGAAACAAAUGAUGAAGAAGAGGAUAAAAUCAAGAGAAUCCAAUCAAAACAAAUAUCUCUGGAUAGUGAUAAGAGUGAUGUAUAUUUGAUAUACAGAAAUGUCUUAAGUUACAAUUGGUAAACAACUUACAAUUUAAAGUAAAUUCAAUGGAUUCAAAUAUUUGAUUGAAAUUGAUACAAUAUCAACAGUUGUUGAAAUAACAACAACAACAACAACAACAACAAAAGCUUUGUUACCAAUGGAAAGGAAAUUAAGUUUCAAUAUUCAAACAAAUUUACUCUUUAACAUUUCAAUUCAAUUGUGGAUCAGCUGUUGAUGGUAUAACGAUUUUGAUACAUUUCUCCUGUUGAAGAAAAAUAAUCCUGACGAAAAAAAAAGGAUUCAGAUUGAAAAUUAUAUCCAAUUGAUCAAGGAAAAUCAAGUCAACAAGUGAACAGAUUUUGAUACAAGUUAAUUGUGUUAAACUGUAACGGAUUUCUCACCAAAAUUACCCACACACAUACACACUUACAUUGAGACAUGAAGAAAUGGAGGAGAAAACAAAAAAACUCUUACCUAUUAAGUGCAAUUCACCAUGAUACCAGUUUAAUGAUAUCAGAAAACGAUUUCAAUUGAAUCGUAAUGAUAUUUGUUUCACUUAAGUGUUUAUCUUCACCCCACCACAAACUGUUCACUUGCUGUUUUAUUGGGGCUUUUGGUUUUGUUUUUACUCAUUUUCUACCACAAUACCUUGUUAUUGUUCAAUUACAAUCAAAUAAUGUCUAUUGAUCCUGCUAUCAUCGCAUCAUCAACAUCAUCAAGUUAAACAGCAAGAAAAGUACAACAGUGGUCACAAAAUAUGAAAAUGACCUCAAUAAGUGAUUAGAAUUGUUGUUGUUAUUCUUGUUGUUAAAAUCGAAAGGUUUUACAAGAUGGAGAGAGAGAGAGAGAAAAGUAAACGAACAAAGUAAAACAAGAAAAGAAGGUAACCAGUACCGGGUAGAAUUAUAAGUUCUUCAAAAGAAUUGGCACAAACCGUAAAGUUUCUUUCUUUUCUUCUGUCUCUUUUUUCAUCUUUUUUCUUAUACUUUUCACCUUAAUUUUCUUUUUUUUUCUUGUUAACUUAUCUUUAUUUUCUUUCUUCAGGUUUCAUCUCCCCUGCGCUCUCUCUCUCUCUUUCUAUCUCUCUCUUUUGCCGUCUUCCUCCAUUUCACUUUCAUCCGGGUCACUGAAGUUGUCUUUAUUAUUUACGAACUUGAUCAGCAAAAGUUUUACGAAUCAAUUUGGGCUCAAGCAAAGUAACAAGAAAACAAGUAAAAGGAUCAACAAGGAAAAGUUUUCUACACCUUUCGCUUCUAAUAACUUCAUCUUUUUCUCUCUAAUUUUCUUCCUAAAAUAUUGGUGUGUCGAAUAAUGAAAAAGCCAAUUUUAAACCAAUUGAAAAGAAAGAGAAGAGCCCGUGCUCCCGCCGUUUCCUCCAUAUCAUCAUUCACUCUCCCUCUCUUUUCAUCCUCUUUCUUUCCACCACCUCUGACAUUCACAUUUAAGCCUCGUGGCCUACCGAUAGUCAACGUCUGUAACGUGCUUCUUGUUUAUUGUGACCUCAUGCGGAGGGGAAAAAGAGGAGAGUCAAUGGAAAACAUCUCGGGAAGGAAAAAGGAGAGAGUUCAACAUAAUUUUGGGGGGAAAAAGAUAAUGGACUGAGGGAGAAUGAAGAGGGAAAAGGCCAAACAUGUGAUCAAAAACAAGAAAGAAAGAGAGAGAGAGUAAAACAAUUUCCCUCAAGAUGUCAAAGUGUGACCUUUUUCUCUGCGUAUGACCUGUCGCUUGUUAUGAUGGCAUUUGAAUGGUGAUGUUAAGCAUCUUUAUGAUGAUAAAAUGAUCUCGAGAUGAUAUCGACCUUUCAAGACUUUAAAUUAUUGGAAAACUAAUACCAAACAAUUAAAUCCGCAGGAAAAACACAGUUUUGUUGAUUGUUUCCAUUUAGAGGUCAAGGUUUACAUGGAUCAAGACACAGACACAAUUACUGAGGAUACGAGAGAUUAUCACAAAUAGAAAGUAAUUCAUCUUUAUCUUCAUCUUCUCAUUGUUAAUUUAGAUUAAGGACAAACCAACGUUCACAUUGAGUUAAAUGGAUAAUCAAAGAGCAGAAAAUGUUAUCAACUAGACUCAUUUGUUUUACUUUUUUCUCAUCAUCAUUUUUUCAUUUUGAUCUAAAUUCUAUUUGAUCAGAAAAAUUAUAUUUCCUUCCUUCCAGAGCACGUCGACUGUUAAGUGCUAUUACGUGGAUGGAAUCAUUCAUAAUCAUGAUUAACCACCAAACACCAUCGAGAGAGAAAAUGAUUAACUACAAGCCAAUACUGAACAAUAUUCCAAAUACAAGUAUGAACAACAAUCUGAAGCUUAAUCACAAUUAACAUAAUCUAUUGGUUUCAAUGAUUAUUAGGUUACAUCGUAUGAACAAUUUAACAAUUGAUUACAAAGAUUCAUUGGAUUUUACAGUUAUACUAUUUACCGUUAUUGUUUUGUGUGUUUCUGCUUUUAUAACUUCAAUGACAAUUAAUCAAUCACUUGUUAUUAUUUUCUCUUUACCAUUAAUUAAAUGAUUAAUAUUAUCAUUUACUUGUUAGAAAUAGUGACGAGAUAUAUUUCAAAAUAGUAAUUUGAAAUAAUCAAUUAUCUCCCAUGAAAAUAAGUUGAAUUCAUUGAUAUUAUAAAUCAACAAUAAAUGAACUAAAUUGAUUACGAAUUAAAUUGUAGUUUUUACUUUCGAAAGGUAAAUUGUUAAAUCAAUACACAUUUUGAAUGUUAAUAAUUUUUCAUUGGGUUAACAAUAAUUAACAUUCAAUGAUUAGUUUUAAUAACCUGAAGCUUUUUUGAUUCACUUGAUUAACUGAUUUGUUGAUUAGUUGUAAUCAUUGUAAUCAAAUGAUACGUUAACCUUUUUUUUUUUGUUGUCAAAUGUAAAUCCCAACGAUUAAAGUGUAAAUUGUUAUCAUUUUAAUUGUUACAAUUAAGCAAAAACCAGGAAAACAAAAUGAAUCAUCAUCAUUAUUAAAUCACAAUUAAAAAGGACUAAAUUGAUUGGAUGCAAAAAAAUGAUCAAUGGAAAGGAAAAGUAAUUAAAGAAAAAGGGAAAACCAAUGGUUCUAAUCGUUUGAUACAAUUAACUAAUGAUAAUUGUUGAAAAUGGACUUGGGAACAAUUAAAAUGAUACAGAAAUUAACUGAUUAUCACGUGAUACGGAAAUGAAGAUGAUGAUGAAACUAUUUCUCGAUAGUAACUUGAUUUGGUUGAUUAACUAAAUUCAGGUGAAAAGACAUUGAAGCCUCAAAGGGUUUACCUUUUUACUAAUUAUAAUUAAACAUAAUUUUCCUUCCUUCCUGAAUGAGUGAGAGAGAGAGAGAUGAUAAAUAGUGAAAAUCACCAAGGGUCAUCAAUAAAUAAUAAUCAUCAUCAUCAUCGUUGGGAAUCAACGUUAUAAUUAAUGAAUUGAAAUGAGAAUCAUCAACAAUCAAAACUGAAAACUGGAAUCAAAUUAAUCGGAAAUGUUUUUUAUCAAUGGAAAUCAAUGGAAAUGAAUCAAUCCUUUCAAUUGUCAGAAAUUAAUCAUGAUUAUGAUUUAAAAAUUUUAUAUAUGUCACAAUGAGCAACACUAAUUGUUUGGUAGGUUAAACUAAAUUGACAACAAUUUAAAUUGAUUAAGCAAUCACUUCGUUACUUUCAUGGUUCAUAAGACAUUGAAUUAAAACCCUUUCAAAACUAAA